UGGGCCCAGGGUGCGUAACACGUGGGUAAUCUGCCGCGAAGCCUGGAAUAACCCCGAGAAAUCGGGGCUAAUGCCGGAUGUGACUGCCGGAGGGCCUCCUCUGGUAUUCAAAGUCGGGGACCGCAAGGCCUGACGCUUCGCGAUGAGCCCGCGGCCUAUCAGGUAGUUGGUGGGGUAACGGCCUACCAAGCCUAAGACGGGUAGCUGGUCUGAGAGGACGACCAGCCACACUGGAACUGAGACACGGUCCAGACACCUACGGGUGGCAGCAGUCGAGAGUUUUUCACAAUGGGCGCAAGCCUGAUGGAGCGACGCCGCGUGGGGGAUGAAUGGCUUCGGCCCGUAAACCCCUGUCAUUCGCGAUCAAACCGCGCUAUUUAAAAGAUGGCGCGCUGAUAGUAGCGGAAGAGGAAGGGACGGCUAACUCUGUGCCAGCAGCCGCGGUAAUACAGAGGUCCCAAGCGUUGUUCGGAUUCACUGGGCGUAAAGGGUGCGUAGGCGGCCGGGUAAGUCUGACGUGAAAUCCCGUGGCUCAACCGCGGAACGGCGUCGGAUACUAUUCGGCUGGAGAGUUGGAGGGGGGACUGGAAUUCUCGGUGUAGCAGUGAAAUGCGUAGAGAUCGAGAGGAACACCUGUGGCGAAGGCGAGUCCCUGGACAACUUCUGACGCUGAGGCACGAAAGCCAGGGGAGCAAACGGGAUUAGAUACCCCGGUAGUCCUGGCCUUAAACGGUGCACGUUUGCUGUAAGCGGAAUCGACCCCGUUUGUGGCGAAGCUAACGCGUUAAACGUGCCGCCUGGGAAGUACGGCCGCAAGGUUAAAACUCAAGAAAUUGACGGGGCCUGCACAGCGGUGGAGUAUGUGGCUCAAUUCG
rnacentral:rRNA from 1 species